rnacentral:lncRNA from 1 species
AGGAGGAGGAGGAGAGAUCGACUUGGGAAAGACGCUCAGGUAAGAGAAUUGGAGCUCUCGUGGGAAGGUGUCAUUGUCACCCUUCUGUCUUUGUCUCAUUUCUCCAGAGGCAUUACUAUAAAGGGACCCCUCUUUAAAGAAAGAUGUGUUUUGAGACCACUGUUUUUAGUUCCCAUUAUAGAUAAUUAAUUUCUUCUCUAGAUUGUGAGAAGAAAAGUGAAGAGGGAGCUCAGUAGAACCAGGGAGGACCCCUUAUGGUCUGAGAGGAACAGCCAGCCUCAUGAGCAGAGCACAACUGCCUUCAUGGAACCCAGACAGCGUCCCCAAGAGUGUCGCAUGGGAAAGGCUCCACAGAUGCCUUCCUGCCCUCAGUCUGAAGAGCUCCUCCUAUGUGUCCAGCAUCAGGUGGAUAGAGGGAGAGGAGCGAGAAGCCACAAGCAAGUACUUCACCUCUCCAUCCCUCCCCUAAUGAUUGCCCUUCGACUGGCCUGUCAGUUCUCCAAACCAGUGCCAGUCUCCCCCUCCCUUCCCCCUGCCUCCACCACGCACCCUCUUCAGGGCCGCCUGCUCCAUCUUCAUUUCAGUUGCCUCACCAGGAAAAGAAAGUAACUCCCUCCUCAGAGAAGAAUAACUGCCAUAAAUUUGUGAGCCACAUUCAAGGAAACCACGCCCUGCUCCGAUAAAUCCUCUACAACUGCUGCUUGAUAGUGAUUAUCCAGCACUGUAGAAAUACUCUAGGUUUCUGAUGUUUUCAGAAAAAAGCAGGCAGGUACAAGCAACCAGAACAUUCUCCCAAGGCCCUGCAUCCCCAGCCUUCACUCUUCCCACACACAAAGCAGAGGCUCUGCUAUUGCUCUCCAAGAUUCAGUUUCCUUGUAGGUAAACUGGGGAAAAUUUAGUAUUAACAACCACCAGAACUAUGUCAAAGAAGAAUCAUCCCAAAUAUUCCC